GAAAUGCGAUAAGUAAUGUGAAUUGCAGAAUUCAGUGAAUCAUCGAAUCUUUGAACGCACAUUGCGCCCGCCAGCAUUCUGGCGGGCAUGCCUGUUCGAGCGUCAUUUCAACCCUCAAGCCCAGCUUGGUGUUGGGGCCCUACGGUCGACGUAGGCCCUUAAAGGUAGUGGCGGACCCUCCCGGAGCCUCCUUUGCGUAGUAACUUAACGUCUCGCACUGGGAUCCGGAGGGACUCUUGCCGUAAAACCCCCAAAACUUUUACAGGUUGACCUCGGAUCAGGUAGGAAUACCCGCUGAACUUAA
rnacentral:misc_RNA from 1 species